CAGCUUAGAACCUGUCAAAUUUAUGCAUGGUUCCCUGAAAAAAGAACCAUAACCAUCACAGCUUAGAACCCGCAAAACAACAUCAUCACCGAUUCCGUUACUAGGCAAAACCAUGUUCAUUUCUUCAAACGUGAAAGCUGUAACAACAAGCAAAAAUUAAAACUAUCGUCACCCAGAUUUCUCAGCAGCAGAUACAGCAACGGCACGUUCAGGCACAACAGCAACAGUAUGCAAUGCUGCUCUAACAACCAGGAGCACCGUAAGCAGGAGGAACCGCUAUUCAGUCAGUGCAGCAGCUGCAGCAAGAUCGAAUUGGCCACAAAUCGUUCAACAGCAGUAAGAAGACAACCGGUUAACCACAAACACAACAGUAAGGUGCUCGGAAGGGAUUUUUUGUGCUUCAGUUAAAUCGUAGCCAGACACAAAAACGCAUCUUUGUCAAAUCACAAUUUUGUUUUCUACCAGUUCCUUAUACCAAAUACAAAUAUGUAUUUGCUUAUACUAAAAUAGCUGUAUUAGCACCGAUAAUUCAACCAUCCCAAGUGAUACAGCCACUAUGUCAGCGCCAAUCACCUAUAUUUCACAGCAGCAGCAAAUUGAAACUUCACCAUUCGACCGGUCGGUAGUAAUGCCGCAGCAAGCUGAUUUUUUUAUAUUUUGGAAAGGAUCAGUACAUUGUAUCGCAAUAAUCCCAAAUAUCGCGCUCAAAAAAUUACAUUUCUUCAUAUCGAAUUGGCUAGAAUCGCUCAACAACAGUAACAGAAAACAACCGGUCAACUGCACACAAUAGCAAGGUUUACAAAAAUCCCGGUUUAUCUUCAAUCAUAUUUUUAACUAAAAAAACAUUUAUUUGAAA